GACGAACGCUGGCGGCGUGCCUAAUACAUGCAAGUCGAACGCAGUGGGGACGGGUGAGUAACACGUGGGUAACCUCCCAUCAGAGGGGAUAACACUUGGAAACAGGUGCUAAACCGAUACUGAUGGAUGGACCCGCGGUGCAUCAGCUAGUUUGUGAGGGAACGGCUCACCAAGGCCACGAGGCAUAGCCGACCUGAGGGGGGGAUCUGCCAGACUGCGACUGAGACACGGCCCAGCCGCCUACGGGAGGCAGAAGGAGUGAAUCGUCGGCAAUGGACGAAAGUCUGACCGAGCGACGCCGCGUGCGUGAAGAAGGUUUUCGGAUCGUAAAACUCUGUUGUUAGAGAAGCGGUAUCUAACCAGAAAGCCACGGCUAACUACGUGCCAGCAGCCGCGGUAAUUC
rnacentral:rRNA from 1 species